GAUGAACGCUAGCGGCAGGCCUAACACAUGCAAGUCGAACGGUAACAGGAAAAAGCUUGCUUUUUCGCUGACGAGUGGCGCACGGGUGCGUAACGCGUAUACAAUCUACCUUUUACAGGGGGAUAGCCUUUGGAAACGAAGAAUAAUACCCCAUAGCAAGUAUUUAUGGCAUCAUAGAAACUUUAAAGAUUCGUCGGUAAAAGAUGAGUAUGCGUUCUAUUAGCUAGAUGGUGUGGUAACGGCACACCAUGACAACGAUAGAUAGGGGCCCUGAGAGGGGGAUCCCCCACACUGGUACUGAGACACGGACCAG
rnacentral:rRNA from 1 species